rnacentral:tRNA from 2 species
UCCUCUGUAGUUCAGUCGGUAGAACGGCAGACUGUUAAUCCGUACGUCACUGGUUCGAGUCCACUCAGAGGAGCCA